GUUGGAUUUGUCUUUCUGUACUGUACUUGCAAAAUAAUUGGAUUCAGACGCCUAUAUCUGUGACAGUUGGGUAAAACACAGAUGGCUAAACAUUUCUGUCAAUAGAGAACAGGUAAGGAUAAUGAAACAAGAUUUCCAUGCAGUAAGUGUGCUGAAAUAACCAGAAAAUUCCAAAAACUGGAAAAAAAGGAUCAUUCCCAAAAAGUGCCCCAGCAUCACAGUAACUCACGCUCAGACUCGAAGUGCAGGGAGACACACACUUACUCUGAAGCACGAGUCUGCCUGGGAGGAUCCAUCCCAACCUUCGGCACAGGUGGCCACAGGGACCUGUCCUGGAGGAGCAGUAGGUGGCACUCCCACUGCCCACUGUUUACAAAGAUAAUUUGAUGUCUUCUCACAGCUAACAACAUCCCAUAAUCCAGCUGCAGUUCCCAUGGCAACACACCCUUGCUCUUUUCCUUUGUGAUAUGGAAACAAAAUGAGUAAACCCAAGCCUUAAAAGAUU